AUAGUUCCUAUUUUAUAAAUGGAGAGAUGAGGCCCUGAGGGCCAUUAAAUGGUAGAACCAGGAUUUGGAUCCAAGUUUGUCUGGUCCGGAGUCCAUGUACUUUCUAUUCUGCACUACUGCUUCUGAAGAGUGGGUUGACAAUUAUUCUCUGGACUUUUUGGUAACCAAGAACUUCUAGCAACUAACCCUGGCAUGACCACCAGAAUCUGCAGGGCUGAGAGAGGAAAGAAAGGCAAAAGUGGAUGAAUGCAGCUGAAGAUGGUAUGGAACUCCUAUCACAUUCCAAGUGCUGUGUUGAUAUCUGGAGAUAUAGACAAGAUUGAAGCAGAUGCAGAGUCUUUCACAUGAAUAUUUGAAUCAGGUAGUAUGUUCCCCAAAUUAGCAAAGUAUCUCCCAGAUUUUUUCUUUGAUGAUAUAUUUGAAAUCCUAAUGCUGAAAGUUAAAUUAUCAGGGUUUUAAAACUGGAAGCAGUCAUUAUCAGAAUUUUAUAUACUAUUUAUUUUUAAGAACAUAAUUUGACUCUUUAAGUCUUAUAAUUUUAAGUAAAGUACUUUGGGCAGUCAUAAAUAAAGUAAUGGGCAGGUAUUUAGUAUUCAUAUUGUGUGGAUUCAUAUCCAUACUCUACCAUUCAGUAUCUCUGGGAUUUUGAUGAAUGAUCAAACUCUCUGAGCCUCAGUUUUCUAAUCUGUAAAGCAGAAAUGAUAAUGGUAUGUAGUGAUAAUUAAACAAUUUACUAGU
rnacentral:lncRNA from 1 species